UACCUUUUUUAAGAACAGGAUUGGAUUUUUGGUGUCCUAAGAGGUUUUUGCAUGUUGUUUGAUUAGCUGGUAGCCACAGCUAAUUUCCUUUGUUUUCUUUCUCAGCUCUUCCCCGGAGUGGGGUGAAAGGGCUUCAGGGUAUCCCACAGGGAGAAAUUCCCAAGUGUUCCUUCCUGGGUUCAAAGGGGGAUUUUUGCAUUUGAGUGGUGGCAGCAUUUACCAAGCCAAGAUCAGAGAAAAACUGUAGCCUUGGGAGUGUAAUAUAAGCCUGGAGUUGCAAGUAUUAAUUUUUAAAAUUUUUGUGGGCCCCCACUUCCUGCACUCGAGGUGCCAGAGUGAGGAUUCAGCCUUGACACAUAUUGAACCUUAAAACUG